rnacentral:rRNA from 1 species
UGGGGAAUCUUGGACAAUGGGCGAAAGCCCGAUCCAGCAAUAUCGCGUGAGUGAAGAAGGGCAAUGCCGACUUGUAAAGCUCUUUCGUCGAGUGCGCGAUCAUGACAGGACUCGAGGAGAAGCCCCGGNUAACUCCGUGCCAA